rnacentral:rRNA from 1 species
UCUAAUACCGGAUAACGACUACUGGGGGCAUCUCUGGUGGUGGAAAGCUCCGGCGGUGCAGGAUGAGCCCGCGGCCUAUCAGCUUGUUGGUGGGGUGAUGGCCUACCAAGGCGACGACGGG